UACGUAGGGUGCGAGCGUUAAUCGGAAUUACUGGGCGUAAAGCGUGCGCAGGUGGUUUGUUAAGUCAGAUGUGAAAGCCCCGAGCUUAACUUGGGGAACUGCGUUUGAAACUGGCAAGCUAGAGUCUGUCAGAGGGGGUAGAAUUCCACGUGUAGCAGUGAAAUGCGUAGAGAUGUGGAGGAAUACCAAUGGCGAAGGCAGCCCCCUGGGAUAAGACUGACGCUCAUGCACGAAAGCGUGGGGAGCAAACAGGAUUAGAUACCCUGGUAGUCCACGCCCUAAACGAUGUCAACUGGUUGUUGGGCAACUUGAUUGUUCAGUAACGAAGCUAACGCGAGAAGUUGACCGCCUGGGGAGUACGGUCGCAAGAUUAAAACUCAA
rnacentral:rRNA from 1 species